rnacentral:lncRNA from 1 species
AUCAUCACUUGAUCCUCCAUUAAUAUGUGAUGUUUUAUUAUUAGGAUUAUAUGGAUAGAUUAUUAGAAUUUUUUUGAUUGUUAGGAUUGUAUGGAUAGAUUAUUAGAAUUUUCAAGUUGUUAAGAUUAUACGUGAUUUGUUGAAAUAUUUAUAUAGUUGUUAGAAUUAUAUAUGGGAUAUGGAAAGAAACAGUAAAUAAGUGAAAAACGAUGAAUGAUUCACCGCUUUUGUGAGAAAUUAGGAACGCGGUGAAUGCGUUCACCGUUUUUAUGAAGGCGAUGAAUCGUUCAUUGUCUUUAAGAGAAAAUUCCAAUGUGGCUGCUAUAUGGUGAAAAGAGGGUUAGUUGUUCUAAAUAUAAUUUUGGCAGUGUUAUUUUGCAAAUACCAAAAUUUUAGAGGGUUAUUUUGUAAAA